UCAAACUUGGUCAUUUAGAGGAAGUAAAAGUCGUAACAAGGUUUCCGUAGGUGAACCUGCGGAAGGAUCAUUAAAAAAUAAAAGACAUCGCUCUUUGCACCUCUUGCGUGUUGGGCCUCUAGGGGCUCAGCGCCAAUGUGUUCAACCCUUUGAAAACCUUUCUUGUUUUUGCUUCGGCAGCACUUUUGUUGGUCUAAGUGCCCUGCAAAAGGUAAGGCUGCCAGAGGCCCAUUUCAAAACCAGUUUGAUAAAAACACUGUUUAGUCUGAUAUAAAAUUUCUUAUGAGAAAUCAAAAGAAUUUAUAUUAAAACUUUCAGCAACGGAUCUCUUGGUUCUCGCAUCGAUGAAGAACGCAGC
rnacentral:misc_RNA from 1 species